GCGAGUUCUAGAUCUCCGCCUCGGGAACGCGCGCGUAGAAUUUCCAGUCGCAUUUGGUGACGCCAUUUUUAUAUAAUAAUAUCUAGCGAGCCUUUAUUAUUUUCCCUUGAUUAUUAAGAGGGCUUGGGUUAUCUCACAUUACCAGGGGGUUCCGGCGAGUAAAUCCUCAUGGUUUGAGGGGGGGUCGGGACUGGUUACUAGGCGAACACACCCCCUCCAGUUUAUUUCCCUCUUCGCCGCGGCCGCGGGGGAUACUGGGUAAACAUGGCGGCGGGCGGCAGCAGCAAGGCCUCGGCGGGGGCACUGGAAGCUUCUCUGGACCGAAAAAUGCAGUCUGUCACCAACACCAUGGACUCCAUCCAGAGCCUGUCCUCCUGGUGUAUCGAGAACAAAAAGUACCACAGCACCGUCGUGCACCACUGGCUCAAGUGGUUCCGCAGAUCCGGCUUUGGUCAUAGACUUAACCUGUUUUACCUGGCAAACGAUGUCAUUCAGAACUGUAAGAGAAAAAAUGCCAUUGUGUAUCGAGAGGCAUUUGCAGAAGUGUUACCUGAGGCUGCUUCCCUAGUAAAGGAUGCCUCUGUGGCAAAAUCUGUGGAGAGAAUUUUUAAGAUCUGGGAAGAAAGAAAUGUUUACCAAGAGGAUGUAAUUGCGAAUUUCAGAUCAUCUUUGAAUAAGAGUAUGAAAGAUGGAAGUUCUGGAAAAAGAAGUAGAAGUUCUCGUCCUAAACCAGAAAAAGUACAAGAAGCUCCCCCCGUAACUCCAAAAGCUGCAUUAAAAUCGAAGAUUGUGGCUGAAUUUAGGCCCCAGAAACUGAUUGACGAUCUGCAGGUGUAUAAGCGUUCAGUGGACAAUGUUAAACUUAAGGAGCAACAGCUUUCAAACAUGAGAGUUGACGUCUGCAGCACUGAGACCCUGAAACGUUUAAAAGAUAAAGCUGGAGGGAAAAAGUUCUCUAAAGAUUUUGAAGAAGCAAGUGCAAAGCUAGAAGAGUUUGUAGGUCUUCUGGAAAAGCAAGUGAGGAAUGGGCCUCCUUUAACAGAAGCACUGGAGAAUGCUGGUAUAUUCUAUGAAGCACAGUACAGAGAAGUCAAGGUGGUGGUAAAUGCUUACAAGACAUUUGCCAACAGGGUUAACAAUUUAAAGAAAAAGCUUGAUCAGCUAAAAGCUACUCUACCAGAUCCAGAGGAAUCUCCAGUGCCAUCUCCCACAAUAGAUGCUCCGUCACCAACUGGCUCAGAGUCCCCGUUCCAAGGGAUGGGUGAUGUAAGCCCUUUGUCACCUGAGGUAGAGCCUAUCCCACCUAUCUCUCCAGAGCCUCCAAAAGAUAAUCGCAUGGUAGAGGAUAUGGAAUUAUCUGAUGUAGAUGCAGAUGAAGAAGUACCUGACAUUAUUGUUGAAGAAAGAAAAGAGGCCCAAGCUACAUCUACUUUGGCCUCAGAUGCUGUAACUACGUCUUCCACAGAAAAGACCAAUUUCACAACAGCUGCACCAGCGUCAACCCCAGCGCAUGUUCCUGCCAGUCUUCCAACACCUGCUGCAGUCUCUGUUAGUGCCCCUGUUUCUGCACCAGCUCCUACUGUUUCUACUUCUGCAAAAACAGUAACCACUCCCACCGCUGCCCAGUCUGCUUCCCUGGGAUUGCCAAACUUGGCCAAUGUAGAUCUGGGGAAGAUUAGUUCCAUCUUAAGUAGCUUAACUUCAGUUAUGAAGACGGGAGUGAGCCCAGGAGCCAAACCAUCGCCUGGAACACCCACAACACCAACUACCAGUUUAGGUUCUGGACUCAAGACUCCUGUGCAGAUUCCACAAAAUCCUCUGGCAAACAUUUUGUCUAAAGUUGAGAUAACACCAGAAAGUAUACUUUCUGCACUGUCAAAAACUCAAGGUCCUUCCACAUCAUCAUUGCAAGGUUUAUCAUCCUUGAUCCAAAGUGUUGCUGUAAGCACUGCUCAGUCAAGUGGAGCCUUAUCCCACAGUACUUCAACAGCACCAGUCAACAGUACCGUUCCAACUAUGAAAGAUCGUAAUGCUCCAUCUGUUACUCCUCCCUUUGUGUCUAAAAAUUUUGAUUUCUCUCCUAAUUCCACAAAUACAGAAAAUUCUUCCACAUCUCUUUCCAAGACAUCUGUAGGACAUAGUUCAAAUUUAAAGCAGACAUCUAAUACUCUUGGAUUCCCAACUCAAACCCCUUUAUCGACAGAUAAAAGCACAAGUCAGUCAACAGAACUGCCUAAGGCUGCUAGCGAGGCUGAAUCAUCUAGUCUGGAAAUGAAAAUUCACAAUUUUUUAAAGGGUAAUCCAGGCUUUAGUGGUCUAGAUUUGAACAUUCCCAUUCUUAGUGGCUUGGGUACCAAUACAGUUUCUGAACCAACCUCUGAAUUUCAGCGAGGUCCUUCCAGCACAACCCUUGAUAAUGUGGAUGGAACUCCAGUUCGUGAUGAAAGAAGUGGAACUCCAACACAGGAUGAAAUGAUGGAUAAACCAGCUGCAAGCAGUGUUGAUACUGUUUCCUUGUUAUCAAAAAUAAUAAGCCCAGGUUCAUCUACCCCUAGUAGCACAAGAUCUCCCCUUCUGAAUAAGGAUACAGACUUUCAAAAGCUAGGCGGUAUGCCUCCAUAUCGACCUUUUGGUAUUGGAGGAAAUUCACCAAAUGCAUAUUUGCAGCCACCAGAUAGUAGGGGCAAUCCUCCAUUUAUUGAUUCUUCCCUGGAAAAAUUUUAUCCUGAUGCUACUUUUCAAGAGGAUGAAGACUAUCGAGACUUUGAAUAUUCUGGUCCCCCGCCAUCUGCCAUAGGUAAUCUUGAUAAAAGACCUUCAAAAUCCAUCUUAAAAUCGAAUGUGCGCUCAGAGUCUAUAGAUUACCAGCCAAUCCCACCUAUAUUCAGUCAGUCCCAAGAUUUUGGCAGGCAGUCGUUUCCACCUUUACGUUCUUUCAGCACGGGCGAAAACAAUGCCCAAUUGUCCCCAUCUACUCAAAUGUAUGAAACUUACAACAGCUUAAGUAAGCUUGAGGCUCCUAAAUCUCCCUCAACCCCAAAGGAUGACCCAUUUUUCUCCUCUGACAGUCAUAAUUUGCCAGGGUUACAUUCUGGUAUGUCACGAACUCCAUAUACAGAUUCUCCCCGUACUCAAAAUAGAUCCCAUGCUUUUACCAAUAAGAAUACUAGUAGACCACCAAUGUCAAAUAUGGAGCAAACAGACAAUGAUGUGUCAGCUACUUCAACUAUUGAAUUUAAAAACAUGCUUAAAAAUGCAUCUCGUAGGCCAUCUGAUGAGAACCAAUUCAACCAGUCGGGCAAAGGCAAUUUUAAUGAAGAUGUGAAAAUUUCUGGCCUUGGUCAUACUGGUAUGACCUCUGAAGAGAGACAGCUUCAAGAGGAGCAUUAUCGCAUAGAAACAAGGGUGUCAUCUUGUGUUGACUUACCUGACAGUGGUGAAGAAAAAGGUGCUCCAAUUGAGACCCUGGGGUAUCAUAAUUCUGGAAACAUGAGGAUUUCAGGGGAACCUAUAAAAACCGUAGAGUCAGUAAGAGUUGGAGUAAAGGGGAACAGAGGACUUGGCAUAGAUGGAGGUCGAGGGAGUUGGUUUGAAAUGGGUAGCAGAGGUAGUCCAUUUAAUGACGGUCCAUCCAGUGCUGAUGAUGAGCCAUCAGUAAGUGGCAGCAGUGGGGUAGGAGGGUUUGAAACACAGUAUGAUGAGCACUUACCACAGUUUCAAGACACUAUCAGUGAAUUUAGAGCAAAAUCUAUGCAGGCGUUUGAGCAUCGCUUACCUCCGCCUCCAUUACCACCAUCCAUGGUACCUCCUUUAGAUCGUGGAGGACCAUUUCAAAAUGAGCCAGCUGGCCCCCCAUCUGUUCCACCCCCUGGUUUACCACCUGAUCGUUUUUCAAGGGACAUGCCUCCACAUAUGCCCCCUGUAGAAGCUAUCUUGUCUCAUGGUACUCACCCUCCACCCAAUGAACAUGGAGGCAAUCCUUUCUCUGGACCUCCACCUCCAGAACAUGGGGCAAAUCCUUUUUCUGGGCCUCCUCCUCGAGACCAAAUUGGCAUGCCAUUUUCCUCUCCGCCAUUAGAUAUGCGAAAUCCUUUUUCACCAGACCAUGGAAACAUUCAUCAAUCAAUGAAGGAUCAUUUUGGUUUGGGCCCAGGACUACAGAGAGACCUUGGAGCUUUACCUCGUGAUCACAAUGGCCCAAUGCUUGGUAGAUUAAAUGAAACACAAGUUCAUUCUAGAGACCAUCUUGGAAACUUUAGUGCUCCUCCACAUCAUUUUAAUGCACCACAUCACAGAGACAAUGUUGGUGGCCUCAGAUCGCACCGACCACAAUUUAGGCCCAGGGAACAAUAUCAAAGCUUAAAAAGGCCAAGGCCACCUUUUGCACGAGGUCCACCAUUUUUUACCCCAAAACGUCCCUUCUAUCCCCCAAGGUACUGAUACAAAAGUGUAAAAUCAUUAACGUGCAUUGGUACUGGUCCACAUUGGCUGUUAUUUGGUCAGGGAGUUUUGUGUUAGUUGAAAAUAGCUUAAACCUGGAAAGCUAACAACAAGAUUUUCAUUUUUCCUGGUGUAAGGCCACAGAUAUAAAGUCACUUUACAAAAAGUUGACUUUUUAGUGGAGGAAUUUUUUUUUUUUUUGAUUGUAAGAAACACCCAUCCAUUUGCCCACCCAUUCUGAUGUCUACUUCAUCAACCAGUCAGCAGCUGGGUGAAUAUUGCAGUUGUCCUGAAGUGAAAUCUGAUGCCUAAAUAUUCAUGUCUGAGUCACAAUAUGGAGCCAGUGAACUGUUUCGUCUGCUCAAUUCUCAACACCUCUGAAGCCUAUCCUGAAUCAACCCAUUGCUUUCUUAUAUCCAGAUAGGUCUGCCCUGGAAGCCAAGGGCCCGCAGUUCUGACUGGUUGCCAGUUGCUGUUAAGACUGAUCUAUGCCAGUGUUUUUUUUUAUAGGAAAAUACACUAAACAACCCCCCAAAAAAAUCUGGAAAAAUUCCUAUCUCUCAUUAUUAUUCUACACGGGAACCCUAGAAUGCAUUGAACAAUUUUAAUGGCACCUUUUAAGAAGGUUGUAAGAAAUAUUUGGAUUUCGGGCAGGUAAUUCUCCUUUUAUUUUUUAAUAAACUGACCUGUCAUGAUGAUGUAGAGAAAAACACAUAUUGUGUGUGUGCACCAUACUGAACAUGAAGAACAGAAAAAAACAGAAGAGACUUGAAAGGAAACAUGGACAAUGCAGAGGUCAAGCCCAACUUAGAGACCUUAAGUUUCCAGUGUCCACAAUAGACAAAGUUAACAAGACGUUUUAGGCCCAUGGCUUUGUAGCCAAUCUCCCUGGAUGUAGAUGCAAGACAAAAAUUAAUCAAAUGUUACGGAAAAGGUUUAUUCGAAUUCUGGUACAAAAUCAACUUCCAGAGAGAUUCAAGGGGGCAAAAUGGUGGGAUACCCAACUGCUGACAGAAACAUAAAAAAGCCCAAUUUGAGUUUGCAAAACCUUAAGCUAAAAUGCCUCUGGGAUGAAAUAAAAUUAGAACUUAUUAGCAUCUCUUAGUUUACUGGGAAAAAAAUGAAGCAGUGGAAGAAGAGAACACCAUCCCUGUUGUCCUUAUUGCUGAUGUGUCUAGGUUGCUUUGCUGCCUCUUGAUGAGUCUGUGCACAACAUCAUGAUAUUGUGAGAUUACCAAGGCAUUUUGGAACACGUUAUUGAACCCAAUGUCUAAAAGAUGGCUCUCCAACACAGAUCAUGGCUCUUCCAGCAGGACAGUGGUCCACAACACAACUCAAAAAAAAAAAGUUAUGGUUAAUGCCAAAAUGCUAUACUGAAGGGGCAGCAAUGAUUACAGAUAUAAAUUCCACUCAAGAUCCCGGGAAAAGCUCUACAAUCUGCAGUUGGAAAUUCCUGUAAAAAGAAUCAUGGAACCCUGGUUUUAUCUGCUUCAGACUUUAUUUUGCCAAUAGUUUUGGCCCUUGUUUGUACAAGUAAUAAUUGUGCAGAGCAACAGUGUCAUCGUUUUAUAAGCACAAUAUUGUCUUCAUGCACUUACAGUAAAUAUUUCAUACAGA